UACAGAGGGGGCAAGCGUUGUUCGGAAUUACUGGGCGUAAAGGGCGCGUAGGCGGCCUGUUAAGUCGAACGUGAAAUCCCCGGGCUCAACCCGGGAACUGCGUCUGAUACUGGACGGCUUGAGUUUGGGAGAGGGAUGUAGAAUUCCAGGUGUAGCGGUGAAAUGCGUAGAUAUCAGGAGGAACACCCAUGGCGAAGGCAGCAAACUGGGCCACAUCUGACGCUGAGGCGCGAAAGCGUGGGUAGCAAACAGG
rnacentral:rRNA from 1 species